GUCUCUGUAGCUCAGUGAAUAGAGCAAUAGCCUCCUAAGCUAUAGGUCAGCAGUUUGAAUCUGCUCAGGGACACCA
rnacentral:tRNA from 1 species